rnacentral:rRNA from 1 species
AACGUAGGACACAAGCGUUAUCCGGAGUUACUGGGCGUAAAGGGCGUGUAGGCGGAUCGGUAAGUCUACUCUGAAAGCUCCUGGCUAAACUGGGAGAGGCGAGUGGAGACUGUCGGUCUAGAGUGAGGAAGAGGAAAGUGGAAUUCCGCGUGUAGUGGUGAAAUGCGUAGAGAUGCGGAGGAACACCAGUGGCGAAAGUGGCUUUCUGGUCCUUAACUGACGCUGAGGCGCGAAAGCAUGGGGAGCGAACGGG